CCCCGGCUAACUACGUGCCAGCAGCCGCGGUAAUACGUAGGGGGCAAGCGUUUAUCCGGAAUCACUGGGCGUAAAGGGUGCGUAGGCGGCUUAGCAAGCCAGGGGUGAAAGGCAUUGGCUCAACCAAUGUAAGCCUUUGGAACUGUUAAGCUUGAGUGCAGGAGAGGUAAGUGGAAUUCCUAGUGUAGAGGUGAAAUUCGUAGAUAUUAGGAGGAACACCAGUGGCGAAGGCGACUUACUGGACUGUAACUGACGCUGAUGCACCGAAAGCGUGGGUAGCGAACAGGAUUAGAUACCCUGGUGG
rnacentral:rRNA from 1 species